UUCAGAGCCUCAUUUCCUCCCUGACACAGGCGGGCGGAGGUGGACUCUUAUGCAGACAAUGGGCUGCUUUUCUGGGCGUCUGAUGACCUCAGCUAAGUGAUCAGGAGUUGUUUUGUGAAGUUUGCUCUGCGUUCAGUUAUUCUUUUGAUGAAUUUGUAGGAGAGAAAGUGGUCUCCCCGUCCUACUCCUCCGCCAUCUUGGCUCCUCC